rnacentral:rRNA from 1 species
CAGCCGUAAACAAUGUGCGUUAGGUGUGUCGGUAACCACGCGUUACUGAUGCGCCGAAGAGAAAUCGUGAAACGCACCACCUGGGAAGUACGGUCGCAAGGCUGAAACUUAAAGGAAUUGGCGGGGGAGCACCACAACAGGUGGAGCCUGCGGUUUAAUUGGGAUUCAACGCCGGACAUCUCACCGGAUAAGACAGCUGAAUGAUUGUCAAUCUGAAGGUUUUACAUGACUAGCUGAGAGGAGGUGCCAUGGCGUCAGUGACU